UACGUAGGGUGCAAACGUUGUUCGGAAUUACUGGGCGUAAAGGGCGCGUAGGCGGCCUGUUAAGUCGAACGUGAAAUCCCCGGGCUCAACCCGGGAACUGCGUCCGAUACUGGCAGGCUUGAAUUCGGGAGAGGGAUGUGGAAUUCCAGGUGUAGCGGUGAAAUGCGUAGAUAUCUGGAGGAACACCGGUGGCGAAGGCGGCAUCCUGGACCGAUAUUGACGCUGAUGCGCGAAAGCCAGGGGAGCAAACGGG
rnacentral:rRNA from 1 species